UUUUUUUUUUUUUUUGCCUGAGGUUGUGACAGUCAAACCAAGCUUUUGUGCCUAACUCCUGACUUUACCUAGUGCUGCCCCAGAUAUAAGCCCCUGUGGUAUUGCCGGAUGCACUCCCCCCUCUCGGCCCCCUAGCUCCCGCAGGCCGUGAUAAAGUUGUUUAUAUGUUACAUCUGACUGCUCAUUGACACGGCCAUCUUGGGUCCCCAGGGAUUGUUUAUCUUGCACCUGUGUAUGCCUCGCAUACAGCUGCUUGUGGCUCUACACAGCGCCGUUUCCGGCUGCUGGCGUCAAUCCUGGCCAGGCUAACUGGUGACUUCAACUGCAGACGCAGCUGCGACUCCGGGCACCAGUUCGGAACAAGGCUCUGCUCACAGUUCUUUCGUCACCUCCGGGUUACGCGACUGCUCCAAAGCUUGCCCAACACCCGGGAUUCUCAUAAAUAAGGAACUCCAUUCCAUACUGCGCCGCCUGCCUGAGAAAACUACAUUUCCCAGCAGGUACCAGAGUGUCUCUAGCCUUUCCCAGCGUGCUCUGAAGUUCGGCAGACUGCUGGGAUUAACCCCUUACUGGCUGCUGCCUCAGGUUGAGCAGUAACCAGAGCAGGGCCCAGCCAUUCCUCCUUCAGAAUGCCAGAGGGCCCAGAGCUGCACCUGGCCAGCCACUUUGUGAAUGAGACAUGUAAGGGGCUGGUAUUUGGUGGGUGUGUGGAGAAGUCCUCUGUCAGCCGGAACCCGGAGGUGCCCUUUGAGAGCAGUGCCUACCACAUCUCAGCUUUAGCCCGAGGCAAGGAGCUGCGCUUGACAUUGAGCCCCCUGCCUGGGUCCCAGCCCCCUCAGAAGCCACUGUCCCUUGUCUUCCGCUUUGGGAUGUCAGGAUCCUUCCAGCUGGUACCCGCAGAGGCACUGCCCCGCCACGCCCAUCUACGUUUUUACACAGCCCCACCUGCUCCCCGGCUUGCCCUUUGCUUCGUAGACAUCCGUCGCUUUGGCCACUGGGAUCCUGGGGGUGAAUGGCAACCAGGCCGUGGACCCUGUGUCUUGCUGGAGUAUGAACGGUUCAGAGAGAACGUACUUCGGAACCUAUCAGACAAAGCCUUUGACCGGCCCAUCUGUGAGGCCUUGUUGGACCAGAGGUUCUUCAAUGGCAUUGGCAACUAUCUGCGGGCAGAGAUCCUGUACCGGCUGAAGAUCCCUCCUUUUGAGAAGGCUCGUACAGUUCUAGAGGCCCUGCAACAGUGCCGGCCGAGCCCAGAGCUGACCCUGAGCCAGAAGAUCAAGGCCAAACUACAGAACCCAGACCUGCUGGAACUGUGUCACUUGGUGCCCAAGGAAGUGGUUCAGCUGGGGGGCAAAGGCUAUGGGCCAGAGCGUGGAGAGGAGGAUUUUGCUGCCUUUCGAGCCUGGCUUCGGUGCUAUGGUGUGCCAGGCAUGAGCUCCCUGCGAGACCGGCAUGGCCGUACCAUCUGGUUCCAGGGUGAUCCCGGACCCUUGGCACCCAAAGGACCUUCCACUUUCAAGCAAGUCCGUUUCCAGGAUGCGGAGGGCCAGGAAGCACCCUCCUAAGAGAAUAGCUCAACAGUCUGAAGGGGCCGGCCUCCAACAAAACCAGGAAACCCCUACAGCUCCUGAGAAAGGGAAGAGGAGGGGGCAACGGGCGAGCACAGGCCACCGCAGACGCCCAAAGACUAUACCUGACACCCGACCCAGGGAGGCUGGGGAGAGUUCAGCUUCAUAGAUGGAGGUCUCCUUCCCUGAUGACUUGCUGUGAAUCCUGGGGCAUGUCUGAAUCCCUAAAAGCAGUAUUUGUAGGGCUGCAUGCCCUAGGCCCCGUGACUUUUCCUGCAUAACUGUUUUUUGGGGGCAGGGCUUUGUAUGUCCUAUCCUUGAACCCAUGUGGAUCUGAAGAUGACAUUGAACUCCCGUUUGGUCUUUCUGCUCCAUGUCCAUGGUUGCCGGGGUUACAGGUGUGAGCCAAGCUGCCACACUCCACUCACUGAUUUGCUGUUGUCUACUUUUUCAAAACAAGGGUUUCUCUGUGUAGCCCUGGCUGUCCUGGAACUCACUCUGUAGACCAAGCUGGCCUCAAAUUCAGAGAUCUGCCUGCUUCUGCCUCCCAAAGUGUUGGAAAUGUAAGCCAUCUUCAACAUUUUUUAAAUCCAAAGUGAAAACCAUUAUUAAACUAAUAAAUUUGAACUUCUUGGUA